rnacentral:rRNA from 1 species
UGGCGGCGUGGUUUAGGCAUGCAAGUCGAGCGAGGAAAGUGGUAGCAAUACUUCUUACUCGAGCGGCGUAAGGGGCAGUAAUACCUGGGAACGUACCCUCGGGUCGGGGAUAGCUGCUAGAAAUGGCGAGUAAUACCCGAUGAUCUCGAGAGAGCAAAGGCUUGCCGCCCAAGGAGCGGCCCAGGCGAUAUUAGCUAGUUGGUGAGGUAAAGGCUUACCAAGGCAUAGAUGUCUAGCGGGUGUGAGAGCACGACCCGCGCCACUGGCACUGAGACACUGGCCAGACACCUACGGGUGGCUGCAGUCGAGAAUCUUCGGCAAUGAGCGCAAGCUUGACCGAGCGACGCCGCGUGCGGGAUGAAGGCCUUCGGGUUGUAAACCGC